rnacentral:rRNA from 1 species
UACGUAGGGCGCAAGCGUUAUCCGGAAUUAUUGGGCGUAAAGAGCUCGUAGGCGGUUUGUCACGUCUGCCGUGAAAGUCCGGGGCUCAACUCCGGUCUGCGGUGGGUACGGGCAGACUAGAGUGAUGUAGGGGAGACUGGAAUUCCUGGUGUAGCGGUGAAAUGCGCAGAUAUCAGGAGGAACACCAGUGGCGAAGGCGGUGCUCUGGGCCGGAACUGACGCUGAGGAGCGAAAGCGUGGGGAGCAAACAGG